CGGUCGUUUCAUUGCCAACUGUGAGGAUGAAGCAGCUUCAUGGCCGGAGAUCGGGCGCCUCCCAUCAGUUUCCCUUUUCAGCAAUAGAGGCCUUGGAGGCCUUUCUACCUGCGUUGCAUCCUGUGGCUGGACCACUCCAACGAUCUCGGCAGAAUCGUUACACAGGAAGAAGUCUGGCUGGCCCCAAGCCUGGUGCAAAAUGAAGAAAUGGCGCUCCACAUCAAUUCAUGUUUACUUGUCGUCAUAGCCAGUCUGUUAGCUUAAUUUUUGGUUCUUCCUAUUGAAUUCUCAAGAAAGGUACCAACUCUGUCAUUCAUUGAAAACAAAUUUUUGCACUUGGGGAUGCAGCCAUGCACAAAGCCUUUGAGCUCAUUAAUAUCUUUAUUUUUUAAAGAAAGUGCAGCUCCUGCGUGGAGCAAUAGGUUGAAUAAUACGAGGGUUAAUGAAAAGGUGGCGAAAUUAGUCAUCAACAGUUGUCCAACAAAGGAAGUCUCAAGCUGGAGGCAACAUCUUUGCAAGAGAACCAAAUGGCUCCAGCCUGAGACAUUCGUUGUUCAACCUGGCAAGUCUCCUUCUCGAAAUAUUUCCUCUAGCCUGAGACCUAUAUCCAUUCCACCACCCUUGACCAACAAUACACCUAUACAUUUGGCAACCCAUGGAAAGGUAGCAAAUUCACAUUCAAAGAAAGGGAAUGUAGUGUGCACCCUGGAAGGUAGCAUGAACAGUAUUUUAUUUACUUCAUGAAAUGCAGAUUUGCUAUCCAAUUACUUUAUUUUGAUCCCCUUUUUAUAAUUGGACAGCAUGGUUCCUCAGAGAGAAUAAUAAUUCGAAGCUCACACAAUUUUGCUCCUUUAUGUCCGUUAAAUCUGUCCUGGUUGCUACACUAUCAGCCCUGUCUGCAAUUGCAUAGCAGUGUUUUGAGCAUGCAUCCAAAUUCAAAAGAAUAGUUAGGCUUCUACCUCAGAAUGUUUGCUACUGUGUUGCAGCUCGAAUUCUAUGUCUAGGUGGUCACUGUGAUGCCAUGUGCUUUUUAAAUAAGACCAAUAUGCUAUUUGAAGGGCAAUUAAAUGCAAUCUCAAAUGACCUCAGCUCGGGGAAUGACACAAUUGGAGGUCAAUGUGAUAAGGAGGAUUUGAUUUCUGAAAACAAGGCACUUAAACGGGAGAAAGCAUGACUAAUUUCGUCUAAAGAUGCUGCUAUUGGAUAUGAUCAGGGAAGGUACUUGUUCGUGGCUGCAUUUGCAACAUGUUACAUUGCUGGCUUUAUAUAUUGCACUGGGUACAGUGAAAUGUUGCUGCUUGCCCAAUAUUCAACUAAACAUGGUAGCCAUGCUAAUGUGUCCAUGCAGAACACAACUCAUCCACUAUUAUGGACUACAGUGGAAUCUCGAUAAACGAAAAUCGCUUCGAAACUGCCGCUUAAAUAGGACACCAUCCUGAUAAUUGGUUGGCUCUCUGCAAUGUCUCUCAGUAAAUAUAAUGCCUGGUAAAUGGAACCAAUAUCCCUGGCACCUUGAGGCUCCAUUUAAAGAGCACCCACUGUAAAAAUAUAGGGGGGAUCGUGUUUGGAACUUUCGUAAAUGUAGUCUUAAACAAAACCGCAUUUCAGUGGGAGCGAAAUGCAAAAGCACCCGUGUACUUAGACAGGUGCAUGUUAAAGAACCCCAGGUUGUCCAAAUAAAUUCGGGGUUACUCGCUAUGGCAUGUGUCAUAAUCAGAAGGUGGGUUCUGGUUCGUAAAAUACAAUAAUUUUUAAUAGCUUGCUCAGAAAUCCAGCACUAAAUUAUGUAGCUUGUUUGUGUGAUGAGCCCCAUUCCUUAAUUUAGUACUUUGACAUUUAUCAUAUUUGUGUGUUAGUCCAUGCAAAAUACCACUGAUCGGCCUCAUUAUACAAGCCACUGUUAAUUAGGAAUGGCUUAGUCAAGCAACUUAAACUUACAGCACAAACACCUAAGACGAACCACAAAAGGAAGGUACGACACACAGUGGUGCUAACAACUUCUUUAUUUCUUCGUCGUCGAUGCAAUAUAAACCCUAGGCCACACUACCGCGCAGGCACUCAGAUUACAUUACAGAGAUCUGCCAAAUUAUCACAUACGCAAGCGUAGGAAGUCAAAUUCAGAUGGAUGCAGGGACAAAGAUAUCUUACUAAUGCAAUUAUCGCCCUGCCUUUCUUGUGGUAGGCCUCUAAGGCAAGCCGCACAUGCUCAUUCUUGCUUUUGCCAAGAAUCGACGUCCCAUCAAGUUCUGCCUCACAAUUGUUGCAAGAGUUAAUAUGCGCACCAAGGUGCGCUCCUCUAUCUACAUUUUUGUUUACUUGUUGCGCAUGUUCCCUGAGUCGCUCAUUGACGCAAUGCGCUAUCUAGCCAAGCUAUGUCUUACCACAUGAGAGUGAAUGGUAUAAACCACGCCGACCGCGCACAACACGUAUGAAGCAUCAUGCCGAAUUUGGCAUCCUCCUCUGCCCUCUCCGCAGGUGCGGGAGCAUAGCUUUAAAAGCUUGUUCGGUGCAGAAAACGCCAAAGGAACACUAUGCCUGCAAGCAAUUUUCUUGAGUUGAUAGAUGACCUUAUGUGUUUAAGGGACCAUGCAGGGAACAUGCACAAAAAGUAAACAAAAAUGUAGA